rnacentral:rRNA from 1 species
AUUGAACGCUGGCGGCAGGCCUAACACAUGCAAGUCGAGCGAGCGGCGGACGGGUGAGUAAUGUAUGGGGAUCUGCCUGAUGGAGGGGGAUAACUCCUGGAAACGGUAGCUAAUCCCGCAUACCAUCAGAUGAACCCAUAUGGGAUUAGCUUGUAGGUAAGGUAACGGCUUCCCUAGGCGACGAUCCCUAGCUGGUCUGAGAGGAUGAUAGGCCACACUGGGACUGAGACACGGCCCAGACUCCUACGGGAGGCAGCAGUGGGGAAAAUUGCACAAUGGGCGCAAGCCUGAUGCAGCCAUGCCGAGUGUAUGAAGAAGGCCUUCGGGUUGUAAAGUACUUUCAGUCGGGAGGCGUUAACGACAGAAGAAGCACCGGCUAACUCCGUGCCAGCAGCCGCGGUAAUUC